AUUUGCUUAAUGCUCUAACCGUGGCAAGCUUGGCUGGAAGGCAGGCUACACAUAGCAGGGAAGAGGGUAGACUCCAUGAGGAGAUGGGGCAGGAUCCAGGGUGUGGUAGCCGACUUAGAGCACACUUCCCUUGAAAAUAUGGGACAAAUAUUUAAUAACGAACAUUGGUCGGAGCCACAAGUGAGUAAAGAGCUAGAUGUUUCCAGGCGGUCGCGGGUCUCAGCGUUUGGGUAAUGGCAGCCCUCUGCUUCCAGAGCGUCUGUCCAAUUCGCAGCACAACUUCACAGGGCAGAGGGAUCAAAGUCCGAGAGUUGACAAGCCAGUAAAACUUAAGAAAGGCACCCGCGUCUCAGCCAACUGGGCUGGGAUCCACCACUAGGAUUUAGUUCUUGCAAGAGAGUCAGACUCCAACUCCGGGACAGAAGCAGAGAUGCUCUCUAUAAAGCCGUGGAGGGGAAAAACAGGCUCAGCCCUUGGAAACAUGAGCCUGGCUUCAACUCGACUCUUGGUCGCCGCCGUAUACCUGACUUGGUGAAGAAGAAAGGAAAGCAAACAUCUCCCAGCAGAAUGAUCGAGCGCAAAGCGUUCAAAACUUGCAAUUCUGACAGACAGUCCUCGAGGGAAGGUGGGGUUCAUGGUUUUUGAGGGGUUUUUGCCCAUCGUGAUAUGGGAAGGACAGAAGAGAAGUUCAGGUCAGGGUGGUCAAAGCUGCUGAUACUGCCACAGACCAGUGUGCAGAGUGGUCAGGACCCUGAGCUGGGGGAAUGGUCAAAGGCACACUCCUAGAGACCAACUUGUGCUCGCUGAUCCCUGCCUCUUGAAAGUUCCACAGCCUCUCAGAAUAGUGCCCCCUGCUGGGAAGGAAGAAUUCAAGACGUGAACCUGGCGGGUGGGGCUUGGGGGGUGGAUUUCAGAUUGAAACUAGAACAGAAGGCCCAGAAAAGGGAGGUCGGUGAGAGUCUGUAUUCUUAAUUCAGGACGGCUUACAAAUAUGACUAGUUAAUUUAUAAGAUGUAAACUAAUACUUAAAAAAAAAAGAAUUUAGCAAACCAGACAGGGAAUUUCAGGACGGCAGUGACCUUUGUGCUUGCUGAGGCAUCGUAGGCGACAGUCUGCUGGAGUCCGGGAAGCCAUCUGCAGCUAGAGGGACCCUGCAGCUAGGGGGACAAUGAGCUGUCUGUCUCCUCCUCUACCUCCAGCUCUCCCUUGAGGGUUUGCGUUGGCAGAAUCUAAGCAGGAAUUUCUGGGAAAUUUAGUUUCCAGAUGUUACAGCCCCUGUGAGUCAGGACACAGAAGGGGAAAGAGCUACCAUGGCCACGGGGCCCAAGUGAAAGACAUCAAUUAUUUUAGGGUGAUGUCAGAGAAAGUGGGUCGCAGUGGAAAUGGAGCUCGGCGAGGCCGAGUCUGGGUGGAAGGACUGUGGGGAAGCAACACCCCUGCAGACAGGAACUGUGAGACACGCUAGGCAGAGUGACAAGGAGGUUGAAAUGCCACAACCUUCGAGAGUGACAGAUGCUCUUUGUUUUAAAGAGCUCAGUAGCGUGUAUAUAGAAAAUAAAGGCACCGUGGAUGGGACAAGGGGACUGUAAGAACCUGUCCCCCACUCUUGCUGAUAGUUUGAAAGCAUUCUGUGAAAUAAAUAUUCUUCUUCCAGACUAGGCAAAAAUGAAAACGGUUAGCAUUUGGACCUCGGUGUUGGAACUGGAGGUUAGAAGGUAGAAAUGUGGGAGGGAGUUAGACCAGAAGUUGACGGAACUUGGCAAGGUGAGUAGCAGGAGGAAGGCAGGAGCAACCAGGACUCCACAGUCUGUGGGGUGCGUAGCAUUGUGAACGGGCACCAUGAAUUGAGACAUGGCCAUAAAAAAAGUCGGAGCAGUUCCCUUUGGGAUGUGUUCUGUGUUAGGAUGUGAAACUACAGACAUCAAUAAUCAAGACAGAGGUGGUGGUGUGUCGUGUCCCCCCCACCCGCUUCCUGCUGAACAUACAUGACACCUUUGCAUACAAAGGGAAGUAUAACUCUCUACGUGUGAGUUUGGCCACAGUCACAGAAAAGAACUGAUUGAUAUCUAUCAAAGAUAUUUCCCCAUCUUAUUCCCCGAUGGAGCUUGAUGCUUGAAAUCCAACACGUGGUACUUCAAACUCCUGGCUUUAAGUUAAGGCACCUUAAAGGUUUGUGCUGCCCAUCUACCUGUGGUGUGGCGUGCUGAGACUUGCUUUGUCACACGUACCCUGAAAACAAUCAGUGCAUAUACACACACUAGUGCUGCUAUAUGGCCAGAGCUCGCAGCAUGGCCUAUUACAUGAUUUUUCCAGAAAGAUGAUAACAGGCAUCACACCAGACAGGGCAUCAGUGUCAGGUCACAGAAAUUACUCUACUAAAUUCCAGCUUGAGGAACCAAGGAAUCUUUUGGGGUUAUAUACAGCAACGUAGCAAGGGGCUCCUUGAAAGAACCUGAGUGGCUUAAAAGCAGCUGUACCCCCCAAAAUGACCCACCAGAGCUUCGUCCCCGGGACUCCCCACCUAUCUCAAAGGUAACCCCUUAGAGAGUCUCGUCUUGAGCAACAAUUAAUUAUUGCUUAUAUAACCCAGAGUGGGGCCUGUCCUGUUAACUUCUGCUGUCAACCUGACAGCCCAGAGUCAUCUCAGAGAGGCUCCAUUGGGGAAUCAGAUCGAUCAAAUUGUCCUGUGGCCAUGUCUAUGAGGAAGUCUUUUAGUUGUGGAUUAUUGUCAGAGGGCACAGUCCCCUGUGGGUGGUGCCAUUCCUUAGCAGAUGGUUCUGGGCUAUCUAACAAAGCUGGCUGAGCAUGAGGGAGAGAGAGAGAGUAAACCAGCAUGCAGUGUUCCUCCAUGCAACUCUGCUCCAGAUUCCUGCCUCUCGAGAGGUCCUGCACCGGCUUCCCUCCGAGAUGAACUUCUACCUGGGAGUGUCUAUUGGAACAAACACUUCCCUCCCCAAGUUGUUUUUGGUCAUGGUGUUUAACAGAAUGACAUAAAGGAAGCUAGAGGAAGGCAUAUUCCUACUAAGUCUUGUAAGCUUCCUGGGCCUGCUAAAUUUUAUGGGUUUGUGAGUUUUGCUAGCUCCUUGUGUCUUAUGAGCUCCUGUCCUCUCUUAACUCUCCAGGAGGACAUGUUUCAGUUCGGGGGCAAUAGCUACACAGUAGUGCCCAUGAUGAGCCAGAGCUAGAAGAAUCACUGGCCCCUACAUAAAGCCCUGAUUGUCAGAGAGACAGGAGGUCUUCAUGAGUCUGGGGAAACUUGCUGUGACUUACUUUGUCCUCUGUCUUCAUAGGCUCCCUGCCUGCUCUAUCUAUUUUUUCUUCUAUUUCUUUAACAACUUGAUUGUUGAAACCCCAGGAAAUUCUAAGCCCAUUUCUCCCAUCAAAAUGAAAGGAACUUAUUGAUGAAAUCAUGAGUCCAUUAAGAUUGAGUGGUACAUCUCCAUUAGGGCCACGAUUUGCAUCAUAAAACAGAUUAACAUGAAAGGUGGAAGCACUCUUCUUGGAGAGGAAAUGCACAAAAGAAUCUUUUAGGGCCUUCCGAAUUAAAGCAGAAUAAACACUCCACCAGGCACAGAGAGAAGGCAAGGGACAGGGGGGAAGGUUUCGACAGAGCCAAGCAAGACUGAAGACCUGCAGCCACAUAAGUGGUGUGACUCAUAGCUUAGUUGUGGGUAGACAGCAGAAGCCAGGGAACAUUCGGAGCUGAAAGAAACACUCGUAUUAAACAUUCUGCUGGAGCAAGGGUUCCCACUGCAGUGUGCUUACAGAGCCCUGCUCUGAAGUAUGCCUGGGCCGGCCGUUCUCGCUACUUUAAUGGAGUUGCUGAGAACCACCCUCUUGCCCGGCUAAGAGCCUGUGGUUCUGAGUGGAUGAGAGUGCUGUUCUCCUCAACCUUCCUCAGAAUGUUGAGAGGACAGUUCUGUGACAAGAGCUUUGCCAUGUGGCCUCCCCAGGAAUCUAGAUUGUUCCGGAUGAUCAAAGGAUAAUGAAAUAAACCCUACAUUAAUAGAGCACAGGGUUCUGGGAGUGUGUUGGGGGGCGGGGAUGACGUCUUCUCUUGCCUAUCAAGCUGGUGCUGUUUGUGUGUGUAUCACUUGCUUAGCAGCAUCAAGACCUUUAGCUAAAAGGAGAGGCUGGCUUAAAGGAUUGGAGCACCCGGGGGAUUCGCUGUUUGAUGGAAACAGGUCAGAGAAAGGAGCAAGAGAAUGAUCGGCCGUCUUACUCUUCUGGUGGGGUCUCUUUGCUCAUGUGUGAGAGGCAGUUCAUGCCAGCUCACAGACAUCAAGCAGAAUUUCUUCCUAAUUCCCCCACUCAGUGACUUCAUAGGAGGUUGGCACUGGCUAGGAUAGGAAUGUUUACAUUGCCAGAAUUGGCAGAUGUCACAAACCAGGGUGUUUUUUUCUCCCCUACUGUGGUUGCCUUGUUUUCUCCCCUAGAAAAUUUAUCGUUAAAUAUUUAUCAGCAUUCUCCUGGAAUUUGAUUGAAAGAUAAUUUGGCCAUCAAAGCAGCCACACGGCCUUCUGAAACUCUGGCUGAAAGCUUUCUGAGCACAGCAAGGGUCAAACAAGUGACCGGGCGGAGCUCGGCGGAAUUUGGAAAAAGGGAAAGGAUUCUUGGAAUACACGCCUGUGUGACAUACUCACCCAUGAACACUCACCUGAGGGUCAGUGCUCACAGGGUGACAUGGUAGGCACCUCUCGAAAGUUGUAAAGGGACCUUUAGGAAUGUGGCCACGAGAUGGACACUACUUAGACAUGAUGUGGGCCUCUUUCUCAUUGGACCAGGGACUUCAGAUAAAGGAUAAGACCCAGGAGGCUGGGCCUCAGAAGGACCAAUUUACAGGGCAUUUUGAUAGUGAACCAAUUAACCUCUUCUACCUAUAGGGCUCAGACAAAAGAUAGUUGGGCUCAGGAUGCAUUCUGGGAGCACUGCCGCGUGUGGGUGGUAAUGAUGUGUCAGAAGUUCUUUUUCAGAUGGGCUAAGUAGACUCCAGUCCUAUAUGGAAUGUCCGAGGCUGUGUCAGAGAAACACAAAGGUCUCUUCUGCCUCCCUUCCUGGGUUCUAGGAUUCUUCUGAAAAGAACCCUAAUGCUAACUAGAAGGUAGAAGAGUGGAAGCCCAGACACAGAUUAAGGAGUACACAUAGGUUCGGCCACAAUGGAGAUCAGGGAGGGAGGAUCUUCAACAAACUAAGAAAGAACCAGUGUAUGGCCCACUACAGCGUGUCCAGGUUAUUUACCUGAGGGACCGUAAGCCAACCUAUCACCCUGUGAACACUGCUGUGAGUUCACAAUUAUGGCUGAGUUAUGUACGGAAGCAAGAGAAGCGUCCGUCAACAAAUGACAGGGUUAAAUGGAGUGUGUGUGUAUAACGAAACUUUAGUCAGCUCUAAGGAAGAGCAGAAUCAUGCUGUUUGUUGAAGAACGGGUGUGACAGAAACUAACUAUAUGAAAUAAGUCAGCAAGAUAAGUGUCACACAUUUUUAGUCCUUUUGCACAUCCUUGGGUACACACACACACACAACACACCCUCACACACACUAAGGAAAAAAAAACUGGCUUCGAAGGACAAAAGGAGGCUACGAAAGGAAACAUAUUUGUUCGACUUUGAGGAAGAAGCCGAUUUGUCUGAAGGAGUCUGGGGACAGCCCUGCCUUUGUCUGAUAAGCCCUCUCUGCAAGUCCCUGUAAGCCAUAUGUGUUUAAGAUGUAGAGGAUCAGCUCAGGGGAUCAGCGCACAGCCCUGGAAGCGUUAGCAUGCGCUUCCUACUUUAAGCAGCUGUCUGGCAAAAUGGUCUGUCACUGUCAUAGGGCAGCCGAGCAUGAGAGUGCUUUGACAGUGCGAGUCUGUCUCAAUCCUUCCACCCAAACUCAAAGGAACGUCUUCCCAAAGGCCGAGGGCAGCCAUUCUUUGCAGCGGGAGUAAGCUCGGCUGAUGGCUUAAUCUGGAAGCCAAUUGGCUUUCAAGGAGACAUAACUCACUCCAUAUUUAGAGAAACGUUUGGAGUCUAUUGGGACUGCUUCGGGAGGGGAUUUGAAAACUUUGAAAAGGAACCUGAUAUGAACACUGACCGACUGGAAGACCUUCUGUCUUUCACAAGUGGGCACGUACCUGGCAGCCCUUGCUGGCUUGGCUUCAACUCCUAGAUCCCGGAUCAUGGAAGCCCUGGAGGGUCUGGCAGUUGGUUCCGGAGUCAACAAGAAGCAGGCAGCCACCACCAACCUAGAAGUAUUAUCAUGGUUUAACAGCAAUCCAAGCAAUGUCUCUGCUCCUGAAAUGGAACCUGGGCCUUGUUGGACGACGUGGGACAAAGGAGAGAGGCAGGUCCACUGUGGGGUCUGUCUGUGUUUAUAUGGUUGGCAGAGCGCGCUUUGAUGUCACCCUGAUGACGUCUGUCAUCUUCCCCACACCUGCUAUGGCAUGGCUGCCUUCAGUCACAAGCCUGAUUCACAGCACACUCUAUGUUUAGCAGCGCUCUGAGAAGGAUUCCAGUCUGCCUUCAGCCCUAAAUAGCUACAAAUAUCAGAGUAGCAGCGGCAGCCCUUCAAAGGCCUUUUUGGGAAGUGUCAUGCCAGAGAUGGGGUGACACAGAGGAGCCCCAGAAAGAAGCAAGAUGUCACCUGGAAACUGGAGGGAAAAAGAAGAAAUGAACCAGCGUCGACUGCUAAGAAGGUGAAGAAAUGAACCAGCGUCGACUGCUAAGAAGGUGAAGAAAUGAACCAGCGUCGACUGCUAAGAAGGUGAUAAAGUUGACCAUCUGUUCCUCAGGGCACCUGGACACUCUGCUCAUGAGAAUGCAAUACCCAACAUGAGUCAAGAAAGCCCAAAGACGUCCACCCUGAUCUGGUGAUAGAUGACACCUGACCUCCUUAGCCAAUAUGCAGACUGAGACUGUAUCUGGCAGAGUUUCUGGCUGCAGAACCCUUGACCGUCAGAAGUGAAUGAAAGUUUGGUAAGCUGUGCUGGAGCACUGCCAGUGUGCGGUGCUGUGAGCCGCCCUCACAGGAUUUCAGGGAAGAACUGUGGGGAGGAGGCACUGAAUGCCUUAGAUGCAGCGGGGAGAAAACCCUUCCUCCUACACCCUUAAAACAGAGCGAAAGGAAACAAAAUAAUAAAACUAAUAACAAAAUAACAAAAUAAUACCCCCCCACAAGCUACACCCUUACUUUUCUGGUCUCACCUGCUGCUUUCCUUAGGAGAUAGUUUCAAUGGAAAAGAUUCUAAAGUUCAUGUGUUCGAAAGCUUCUUGACCUUGCAGUUGGCGAUGAUCUUUGGGGGGUUAUGGAACUGUGGCUGGGGUCACUGGGAGCCAGGUCUUUGGGGUCACAGCUCUGCCCUAUUUUUGGACCCAGUCUCUCUGUGUGUCAUCUGUCAAGAAGUGAGCAAGCUCUCCUACACUCCUUCUGCUCUGGUUCACCUCCACCAAUACCCGUACUCUCAACCCAGGGGUGAAAAUUCCUUUCUCCUUCAGUGUGCUUCUUCCUGGGCAUUUGGUAGCAGCAAUUUCAAAAGCUAAGCUACCUUACUAGUAUGAGCUUCAGUGGUUUACACCAGGUAGGUCGAGGGAAAGGUAAAACUUGGGAUUUGCUCAAAACAUGGCCACACACACACACACACCUGAUGCUCGACACACACAGCCAGGCACACCUGAUGCCAGAAAGGGUGAGGUGGGGAUGUCAGAAAGUCCUGGGAGGAACCCAGGCUGUGUUCUAGGCACAUAUCUAUAGCUCAUAGUUUGUGUGUUCUUGGAAGACACAGAAGUAUUAUAAACUCGUAAAUAGAAUUGCAUAAGACUGUACUCAUGACAUAAAUGAUUCCUCACACGAGCGAACCAAGAAAGCCCAAAGAUGUCUACCCUGAACUGCAGAUAAAACAUCAUCAGACCUCCUUAGUUAGACGCCGCUGACACACAUUCGGAGAUCUUAUCCGGCAGAGUUUCCAGGCGUACGGAAGGUGGAUUGAGUUCAGGAUGAAUGAACUAUUGAACAGUGGAGCUCAGGGAGUGGGCGAUGGAUUAGUGGACAAAAAUAGCCCUGGACACCUGUGUAAAUCCUUGGUGAUCUGAUCUACGCCAUAAAAACCAGACAGUGGGCAUCUGUAACUCAUAAUAAGUCCUUUCUAACAUCACUGAGGUUAUCUUAAAGAGCCUCUUGGUGCUCCCCUCCCCCAUAGCUUUAGAGUGGGGCCAGGCUGCUAACUGCGCCAACGCUGCAUUUGGAGGGCUGUGACUUGCAGCCUGACCUCCUGGAACUGAGUGGAGCAGCAAUCAACAAUGACUUUGUAAGCUGAUCCCUGCUACAGACCGUACAAAAUCCUCAACGGGGAGAGCUGCUUACCUACAGAGGUCACAGGAGCUCUGUGCUCACCACCCCUAAUGCCCGUGUUCCUUGAAGUUGGCUGUUCCUGAGUUGUAUCUUUUGAAGUGAACUGACAUUGAUUCCUUUGGAAACUUGGAUGGCAUCGUUUAAUCUGUGGAGUGGGAAAAAGGAGACGAAGGAAGGAAGAGGAGAGGAGACCAUAAACCUCGCUGAGAGCUCACUGGAUCCGGGAAGUUGCUAAUAAAAACCCAGGCGGGGAUGGCACCUGCAGACAACUCACUCUACCUAGCCGUCAGAGCUGGCCUGGAAGAACAAAGGCUUUCUGGGGAGCUGCAAAUCACACAUUGAUCUUGCCCGAGAGUAUCUUUCCUUAGCGAUGAGAAGCUGGAAUAAAACGAAGUGGAAUGAAAAGCGGCAAGCAGAGGCCCUGAAGACUCCCACAGAAAUCCUGGUUCUGCAGAUUUACCUGUGCCGUGGGACCCACCUGUGUGGGACGAGGCACUUCUUGUUGAGCGUUCUGCUGCUCCAGAGUGCUUCAGCAUUACGUGUGGAAAGCAGAGACUUGAGGAAAAAUCAGUCAAACGAGAGCAUUGCAUAACUCGGACCACUGGAAAAUCCAUUCCCCCUUUAGGCAUCCCAAUGAGGGCAGUAACAACUAAGCAUGUUCCGGCUGUCGUGCUUACUCUAAUGCUGGCACUGGGGAGGAGAGGAGGCAAGUGCAUCCUAGGAGUUUGCUAGCAAGUGAGCCAGCUUCACCCCCUCACGCCACUCCCGGUUGCUAGAAUAGGAGGGCCUCUCCCAGAAUACUCCACACAACAGAUGGUUGAUCUACACCAGGAAACACCCAAAGAAGAAGACCAAGGCCACCACAGGCGGCAACUUGCCUACUCACCAGGGUCCAAGGAAGACCUCCAUCCCAUGGUGGGUAGAGUCCACAUGUGGGUCUCUGGGCUCUCUUCUCUGGUCUUCCUGUCCUCGUUGCUUUACUAAGGGAGACCUGUGAGCAACAGUGUUUUAACGCACGUUAUAGACGACACCGGAGUGUGGCUCUCACCAAAGCGUGUGCCUGACGUGAAGUGUGCCAGACUCCACGAGAAGUGUGUCUGGGCCAACUGACAGCAGUGGCUCUGGCUUUGACACGGCUCUCAGCACUCCCAUUCUGUUCCGAGAGGCCAGGAAGCAGAUGGAGAGAGAAUAAGCAAUGCAGUGGGAUGUCUACAUCUUGGCAGUCAGUUCACGGCGAGCUAUGUUUCUCAAGCUAUUAAGAUACAUGAUGCUACCUGUACAUUUAAUCUCUAAUCAAGUAUGUAAUUUUUUUAUUGCCUAGGGUAUGUCUAUGCAGUUGAAAGCAAAAACCUGUGUUCUAUCUUUAAAGAAAAAAUAAAACAACAACAAUAACAACCACAACACCCCUGUAAAAUCAAGAGAGAGGGAGCAAGAAGUUGGGUGGGUGGUGAGGUGGGGGAGAAUCGGGGAACAAUGGAGGAGGAAAACAAUAUAAUCAAAACAUACUGUAUGGAAAUUAAAUGUCCACCCUGCUCCUUGUGAAGUUUGCUUCCUUCACAGUGAUGUGAAGGGAACAGUGAUAUGCUUCCCCAAGGGGCACGAAGGAGAGGUGCUCUGAGAAAGUGACAUAAACAGGGAAGAUUUUUCUUCUUUGUAGAGAAGGGCGUUAGAGUACAGCAUUGUGAGAUUGCUCAGUGUGUGCACAGAGUACAGCAUUGUGAGGUUACUCAGUGUGUGCACAGAGUACUGCAUCAUCAGAUUACUCAGUGUGUGCACAGAGUACUGCAUUGUGAGAUUACUCAGUGUGUGCACAGAGUACUGCAUUGUGAGAUUACUCAGUGUGUGCACAGAGUACAGCAUUGUGAGAUUACUCAGUGUGUGCACAGAGUACAGCAUUGUGAGAUUACUCAGUGUGAGCACAGAGUACUGCAUUGUGAGAUUACUCAGUGUGAGCACAGAGUACUGCAUCAUCAGAUUACUCAGUGUGAGCACAGAGUACUGCAUCAUCAGAUUACUCAGUGUGUGCACAGAGUACUGCAUUGUGAGAUUACUCAGUGUGUGCACAGAGUACUGCAUUGUGAGAUUACUCAGUGUGUGCACAGAGUACUGCAUCAUCAGAUUACUCAGUGUGUGCACAGAGUACUGCAUCAUCAGAUUACUCAGUGUGAGCACAGAGUACUGCACUGUGAGAUUACUCAGUGUGUGCACAGAGUACUGCAUUGUGAGAUUACUCAGUGUGAGCACAGAGUACUGCAUUGUGAGAUUACUCAGUGUGUGCACAGAGUACAGCAUUGUGAGAUUGCUCAGUGUGUGCACAGAGUACUGCACUGUCAGAUUGUUCAGUGUGUGUCAAACCAGCUUUAGCAGCACUGAGAGAGAACUGACUUCAUUAACACUGGAGAUCUUGGAGACAGAUCAAGUACUCCUAUGCAGGGCAACACAAGGCACUGCAUUGAAGGAAGUCUUCCAAGAGCAGAGAAAUUCUCUCCUGGACACUACUUCCACAGAAUUUUCAGAUAGUUCCAUUUAACUUCCAAGUUCGUUGAUCAACUGUCAUGGGGAGAAGGGAUAGACGUCACGGAGCAUUGUGUCAUUAACAUUCGUUGCUGAAGAAGACUGGGAAGCAAUUCUAAAUUUGCAGCAGCCACGAGGUCCAUGGGCAGAGGUGGACAGAAGUGAGGACUGUCCAAAUGGUGGACUGCUUUGAGCAAGUGAAUGAGUCGUUGCAACUCCACAACUGGGUACGAUAAAAACGCUUCCAUAAACAAUGUAAAAUCAACUGGGUAAGGCGUAAUCCCAUUUAUUUACAGUUCAAAAAUAAACAAAGCGAGUCGCUGACAUCUGAAGUGAGAAGAGAUACCCGCCAUGGGCGAGCUUAGUGAAGAUUCAGCUUCAGGCGUUAGGGAUGGUUUCGUCCCUGAUGGGUUGUUGGUUACGAGCACAUGUUUGUUCUCCACGAGCAUACAUUUUAUUUCUGAGUCGUGUAUAUUUUUUUCUUCAUCCUGAAUCAGCAAAACAGUUACAAGCAAGCAAUGUCAACAUAGUUUCUUUUGCAUGUAUUAAAGUUUGGACCGUUCAGUCAAUCGUUUAAAGGACUAGGUAUGUGGGAGGAAGUGGCCCACAAAGGCUGAAGAGUUAAGUAUUUAAAGACUCAGAAUUACUUGAGAUAGUGAAAAAACGUUAGAGAGAAAAAUUUGAGCUUGGCUUCGUAGUCUAAAUUUCUUUGUCAGUAAAAACCUUCAUUUGUGGUAAAAUUUGGGCAGGGGAGUAAUGGUAUUUGAUAAGGGGUGGGGAAGAAUGUGAACUCAAAAUUAUAACCCAUUUUCUUUCUUUUUAACAUUUUCAGGUCAACACCAAACGUUUAGGUUCUGUGUGAUCAAAAUAGAAGGUCUUCACGUAUAUGGACCUGUCCUCCGCUAAGAUGUAAUUAUCAGUUGAUCAGGUUGAAAGACGGCUGAGUAGAUCCGGCACUAACAACAGAAUCAUCACACCAUGGAGAAACAAAUGUUCUAACAAUGUUCAUAACUCUACACGAUCCUUUCCUUUUUCACCACAAUCUAUGCUUCCCCAUCUGGCAGACAAGUAUGGAUCCCUUUCAACAUGGUAGGUAACAUUCCAGAUUGGAUAAUAAAAGUCUCUGUGGGAGAA
rnacentral:sRNA from 1 species